CGUUCAAUACUCUACAACGUACCUUUGUAUUCGAAAAUGCUUUUUAAAUGUUUAUUUUUUAUAAUUCUGAUAAUUAGUACACACAGUCGUUUUGUCAGAACAAACUAUCAGCCACACGAUCUUGAAGAAAUAUAUUUUGAGAAAAAUUUUGAAUCUGUGAAGCCUGUGUAUUUAAAGAAAGUAUCAAGAAAUAAUCAGCGUUAAUUAAAAUAAGAAAUGGGAAUAUUUAUCAAGGGCAACGCAACAUGGAUUGCAGCUUAAUGUUAAAACAGUUUAAUUAUCGUAUAGUUUUAUUUAUUGUUACAAACCAAGUGUUUUAAAUAGUUAUUUUCAUAGAAUAGAAUAUAUUUUAACCUUCUAUUGAUAACUCGCAUAAUUUUCUACGCGAACAGACUGUAUAACGCUUGAAAGAAAGAAAAUGAUUGCAAUAUGGAAAAACUAAGAGAUGAAAAACAAAGGUGUUUUAUUACAAUAGCAGCGAGUUUAUAUUGUUUAUUUUAUACUUUUUUGUGGAUUAAAUAUAGCACAGGCUUAAUUUAUUUAAAUAAAAACUAAACAUAACAACCAA